UGGGGAAUAUUGGGCAAUGGAGGCAACUCUGACCCAGCAAUGCCGCGUGAAUGAGGAAGGUCUUCGGAUUGUAAAGUUCUUUAAUCAGGGACGAACAAGGUGACGGUACCUGAGGAAUAAGCCACGGCAAACUAUGUGCCAGCAGCCGCGGUAAUACAUAGGUGGCAAGCGUUGUCCGGAAUGACUGGGCGUAAAGGGAGCGUAGGCGGUCUGUUAAGUUGGGAGUGAAAUCCCGGGGCUCAACCCCGGAACUGCUUUCAAGACUGACGGACUUGAGUGUAAGAGGGGUAAGCGGAAUUCCUAGUGUAGCGGUGGAAUGCGUAGAUAUUAGGAGGAACACCAGUGGCGAAGGCGGCUUACUGGAUUAUAACUGACGCUGAGGCUCGAAAGCGUGGGUAGCAAACA
rnacentral:rRNA from 1 species